GGAUUAGAUACCCUGGUAGUCCACGCUGUAAACGAUGAGAACUAGAUGUUGGGACCUUAGAUGGUUUUAGUAUCGUAGCUAACGCGCUAAGUUCUCCGCCUGGGGAUUACGGCCGCAAGGCUAAAACUCAAAGGAAUUGACGGGGGCCCGCACAAGCGGUGGAGCAUGUGGUUUAAUUCGAUGCAACGCGAAGAACCUUACCUACCCUUGACAUCCUCAGAACUUGUUAGAGAUAGCUUGGUGCCUUCGGGAACUGAGAGACAGGUGCUGCAUGGCUGUCGUCAGCUCGUGCCG
rnacentral:rRNA from 1 species